rnacentral:rRNA from 1 species
GAUGAACGCUGGCGGCGUGCUUAACACAUGCAAGUCGAACGAAGCACUUUAUUUGAUUUCCUUCGGGACUGAUUAUUUUGUGACUGAGUGGCGGACGGGUGAGUAACGCGUGGGUAACCUGCCUUGUACAGGGGGCUAACAGUUGGAAACGGCUGCUAAUACCGCAUAAGCGCACAGCAUCGCAUGAUGCAGUGUGAAAAACUCCGGUGGUAUAAGAUGGACCCGCGUUGGAUUAGCUAGUUGGUGAGGUAACGGCCCACCAAGGCGACGAUCCAUAGCCGACCUGAGAGGGUGACCGGCCACAUUGGGACUGAGACACGGCCCAAACUCCUACGGGAGGCAGCAGUGGGGAAUAUUGCACAAUGGGCGAAAGCCUGAUGCAGCGACGCCGCGUGAGCGAAGAAGUAUUUCGGUAUGUAAAGCUCUAUCAGCAGGGAAGAUAAUGACGGUACCUGACUAAGAAGCACCGGCUAAAUACGUG